GAUUAAUCUAAGUUUAUAUUUGAUGUGUUUGUAUUAUUUUAGAAUUUACUGUUUUAGACACGCGGCAUGUGGUAUCCCACUACACUUGGUAUAAGCUGUCAUACUAAUUUGCUGUUUUAGACACGUGGCUUGUGAUAUCCCACUAAUUAGCUAUUUUAAACAUGUGACAAGUGGUAUGACACUGUAUUGAUGUAUGUGAAAUGUAUAGAGUCUUUCAGUAAUCAGAUAAUGUCAAGG